rnacentral:lncRNA from 1 species
GUGAUCCGCCCGCCUCGGCCUCCCAAAGUGCUGGGAUUAUAGGAGAUAGCCACUGCGCCUGGCCAAAAAUUAAGUUUGGAUACGUGGGCAUAAAACAGAGGUCUAAGUAAGUACAGGAUAAAGAGAAAGCCUACUUAGUAGAUGAUUGUACCAAACAAUGUGUGAAAGUGAGUGGAUCAAACUAGGUGGCGAUGAAUGGCAGAUUAUGAAAUCUGGAUUUUAUUUUGGAGGUAAUGCAACACCACUGAAAGUUCUGCACAUGAAAGUUGUACUUUAAGAAAAUUUUAAUGUCAUAAAUAGGCAACAAAUAUUAAAGCAGAGAAAUAAGAUUAAAAUUAGUGAAAGGUUAGGUAAAGAGAACCUAACAGCAGCAGCAGAAACAGAAAACACUACAGAUACGCUACAUCCAGAUGUGGCAAGAAAUUGAACAUAUGAAACAAAGACUGUCUCUGACACUAAAAGCACAAUGGUGUCAUAAACAGGAGGGGAAAAAGACUAGAGAUUGUGGUGAGUUCAAGAGAUUUGAUAUAAAUUGUUACAUAUGUUACCCAAUUAUCUUUAUGAAAUAUUGUUUUACAUGAAUAUUCUGUAUUUUUCUCCAAGAUGUUAUAAAUCACUAAAUAAGCAAUUCGAGAUAUAAUUACAAGUAGAAUACAAUAUGAAAUAAUACUCCUACUCUGCAUUUAGACAAGCAAUAUAGAUUAAAGGAAUCUUUGUUUUGGAAAUAAAUGCCAGCAAAUGAAAACCUUCACAUUGAAGAUAAUCAGUCAAAAAGUAUUCCUCAAAACCCUACUACAUAUGAGGAAAUAUAGUGUAGUCACAGUAUUUAUCGCAUACUUUGAUAGCCUAGGAAGUUAUUCAAUCCUGUUUUCAGGUAAAAGAGGGAUAAUCGCAUCUAUCUCAUGUAGCUGCUCACAAGAUUGAAUGAGUAAAUACAUGCAAUGUAUAUGGAAUAGUAACUGGCAUGUAAUAAGCACCCCAAAUUUGACUUAUCCUGUGCAAGGCACUGGGAAAAAGAAGACUGCAAAACAAGUAGUUCUGGAGUUUCUGGUUUUAUAUACCACAGUAAAUAUUACAUUUAAUUUCAAUAUUUACAUCUUACUGAAAGGCUACUGGAAAGGUUCAGACUAGAAAAAUAAAGCUAAAAGCAUUUAGCACAUUCAAACAAUUUGGAAACUUUUGUUUCCAAUUCUAAAUAAAGUGGCCUGUCAAAAUAUCCUGUAUUUUGUAUUGAUAAAAUCUAUAUGGCGCCAGGCAUGGUGGCUCACACCUGUAAUCCCAGAAAUUUGGGAGGCCAAGGCGGGCAGAACACGAGGUCAGGAAAUCGAGACCAUCCUGGCUAACACGGUGAAACCCCGUCUCUAUUAAAAAUACAAAAAAAAUUAGCCAGGCAUGGCGGCACGCACCUGUAGACCCAGCUACUCGGGAGCCUGAGGCAGAAGAAUCACUUGAACCCGGGAGACAGAGGUUGUAGUGAGCCGAGAUUGUGCCACUGCAC